UACGUAGGGUGCAAGGCGUUGUCCGGAAUUAUUGGGCGUAAAGAGCUCGUAGGCGGUUUGUUGCGUCGGCUGUGAAAUCCCGAGGCUCAACCUCGGGUCUGCAGUCGAUACGAGCAAACUAGAGUGUUGCAGGGGAGACUGGAAUUCCUGGUGUAGCGGUGAAAUGCGCAGAUAUCAGGAGGAACACCGAUGGCGAAGGCAGGAUCUCUGGGCCAAUAACUGACGCUGGAGAAGCGAAAGCGUGGGGAGCGAACAGGAUUAGACUACCCUGG
rnacentral:rRNA from 1 species